rnacentral:rRNA from 1 species
GAGUUUGAUCAUGGCUCAGGAUGAACGCUAGCGGCAGGCUUAACACAUGCAAGUCGAGGGGUAUUCUAGCAAUAGGAGAGACCGGCGCACGGGUGCGUAACGCGUAUGCAAUCUGCCUUUCACAGAGGGAUAGCCCAGAGAAAUUUGGAUUAAUACCUCAUAGUAUAAUGACUCGGCAUCGAGAUAUUAUUAAAGUCACAACGGUGAAAGAUGAGCAUGCGUCCCAUUAGCUAGUUGGUAAGGUAACGGCUUACCAAGGCGACGAUGGGUAGGGGUCCUGAGAGGGAGAUCCCCCACACUGGUACUGAGACACGGACCAGACCCCUACGGGAGGCAGCAGGAGGAAUAUUGGACAAUGGGCGCAAGCCUGAUCCAGCCAUGCCGCGUGCAGGAUGACGGUCCUAUGGAUUGUAAACUGCUUUUGCACAGGAAGAAACACCCCCUCGUGAGGGGGCUUGACGGUACUGUGAGAAUUAGGAUCGGC